rnacentral:lncRNA from 1 species
GCUAUCUUUACAACUAUCUUCUUAUUUUAGCAUGUUUUCUGUGGACAUGAAUAUACUGUAAAUAACCUCAAGUUUGCGGCUCAUGUUGAGCCCCAAAAUGAAGCUGUUCAAGAAAAGGCAUUGUGGGCAAAGGAGCAAAGGUCUCAGAGCAAGCCAACCAUUCCAUCAACAAUUGGAGAAGAGCUUCUAUUUAACCCAUUUAUGCGAGUCAGAGAGGCAUCUAUACAGAAGUAUGCGAAUCUUACUGAUCCUAUUGAAGUAAUGAAGUUUAUUCGUAUAAAGAAGAAUAACUUCAAAGGUUAAUAUCCUUUAUUUGAAUUUAUAUGUGACAUAUAACAAGCUGUUGAUUUAAAUUUUGUUAUAAUCUGUGUUUCAAUAAAGAUUUUUAAGGAAUUA